rnacentral:rRNA from 1 species
CCUACGGGUGGCAGCAGUAGGGAAUUUUCGGCAAUGGGGGGAACCCUGACCGAGCAACGCCGCGUGAAGGAAGAAGGUCUUCGUUUCGUAAACUUCUGUUAUAAAGGAAGAAAGACGGAGGGAGGAAAUGACCUCCGAUUGAUGUUACCUUAUGAGAAAGUCACGGCUAACUACGUGCCAGCAGCCGCGGUAAUACGUAGGUGGCAAGCGUUAUCCGGAAUUAGUGGGCGUAAAGUGGGCGUAGGCGGCAGGAAAGGUCUGGGGUGAAAGGUAGAAGCUUAACUUCAGUAAGCCAUAGAAACCGGGGGGCUAGAGUGCAGGAGAGGGAGGUGGAAUUCCAUGUGUAGCGGUAAAAUGCGUAGAUAUAUGGAAGAACACCAGUGGCGAAGGCGGCGGGCUGGCCUGUAACUGACGCUCAGUCCCGAAAGCGUGGGGAGCAAAUAGGAUUAGAUACCCGAGUAGUC